rnacentral:lncRNA from 1 species
GCACAAGGAAGGUGACCCAUUCUGUCCUCAACUUGACCAAAGGCAGUGGCCUCCAGAACAGAAUAUCAUAGUUGAAGAACCCCAUCCCUGACUCAGGUGGACUUUCAGAUUGUUCUCAGCUGAUUUGGACGAUGUUGAAAAGAGGACCCCUACAAGCAUGUCCCGGUGGGGAAGC